UGUGCUGAAAAAAGUUUUGUUUGAACUGCUACGGUUUUCGAGAUAUUCAUAAAAAUGUAUAGUGAUGACGUCACGCGCAGCCCCCCAUCUGCGGCGGAAUGGAACGGCGAUGAUGCCAUUUUUUUCUUCGUCGUUAGUGCUGGUUUGUGCUGAAAAAAGUUUUGUUUGAACUGCCACGGUUUUUGAGAUAUUCAUAAUAACGUGUAGUGAUGACGUCACGCGCAGCCCCCCAUCUGCGGCGGAAUGGAACGGCGAUGAUGCCAUUUCUUUCUUCGUCGUUAGUGCUGGAUUAUGCUGCAAAAAGUUUCGUUUGUGCCAUCAUCCUUUUGCAGUUAUUAAACAUUGUUUUUUUUUUUUUGUAAUGAAGACGGUGCUCAACUUUUUUUUUCGGUCAUCAAGAGUUCAAUUGACCCACCCCCUCCACUCCUACUUUACCCGGAAAUGUUAUCUUUCAUUUGUCCCGUUAAAAACUAUAAUUUUUGGUUUGCACUGCUUCGUUUUAAUAGAUAUUGGUGUCGCAACCACAAACAAAUGUUUUCUUAAUCGAUAUACAUUUUUUAUGCUGUAGUGGUCACGUCACCAACACAUACUCCUGACGCAGCCUUCAUUUGUUUUGGUGCCGUCGCAUAAGGUUUGUCUCGUCCAACUACACACAGUCAAUUGCUUUUGUUGUUUUUUUUUUCAUCACAGGUUUAUAACCUGGAAUUGACUAUAGGUUUUUUUGUUUUCUUAAAAAAAAAAUUCUGCCCAUUUGACAUUCUCAAUAGUCAGGAUAUGCCACUGUUUUGGGGCGAGCUUGCUGCAAAUCGUAACAUUCGGUGAGUACAGUCAGAUUCGUCACAAAAAGAACAUUCUAAUUCCUCCAAAAAUUAAUGCAUGUGCAAUUAAACUGCGGUCACCGCAGUAUUAAAUUGAUGAGUGCCUGUAGAAGAAACUUAAAGAACCAUAUGCAUCGCAACAGUUAAAAGGAAACUUGAAAUAAUAACUUUUAUUUAACAUUUAACAAUUAGUUUUGUUAAAAAAUAUAUAUAUAUAUAUCAAACUAUAUACAUUUUAACAAUUGAACAAUCAACUAUAUACACCAGAUCAAUGUCAAUAUCAAACAUUCACUGCUUAAAACAUAAACUGUAUACACUGUAACAAUUAAACAAUCAACUAUAUACACCAGAUCAAUGUCAAGAUCAAACAUUCACUGCUUAAAACAUAUCAAACUAUAUACACUUUAACAAUUAAACAACUAUAUACACCAGAUCAAUGUCAAUAUUAAACAUUCACUGCUUAAAACAUAAACUAUAUACACUGUAACAAUUAAACAAUCAACUAUAUACACCAGAUUAAUGUCAAGAUCAAACAUUCACUGCUUAAAACAUAUCAAACUAUAUACACUUUAACAAUUAAACAACUAUAUACACCAGAUCAAUGUCAAUAUUAAACAUUCACUGCUUAAAACAUAAACUAUAUACACUGUAACAAUUAAACAAUCAACUAUAUACACCAGAUUAAUGUCAAGAUCAAACAUUCACUGCUUAAAACAUAUCAAACUAUAUACACUUUAACAAUUAAACAACUAUAUACACCAGAUCAAUGUCAAUAUUAAACAUUCACUGCUUAAAACAUAUCAAACUAUAUACACUGUAACAAUUAAACAAUCAACUAUAUACACCAGAUCAAUGUCAAUAUCAAACAGUCACUGCUUAGUAUAAAACAAAGCAUGUGGGGUGACCUUUAUGUUAUCUGACUUUGCUUUCACUCCACUUCCAAGGUCAUCGUACAUCUCCCAUGAACAUGCAGCCCUCCUGCAGAAUGCCACAUAAUGUCCAAGAGAAUCCUGGGUCAAGCCUCUUUGAAAUGCUAUGACUGCUCUCAAAGUAAAGGUGUUCUCUUGCAGCACCAGACUGGAGGGAAAUUCCAGCAAGGCAACUUCUGCAGUACUGCUGCCAAAGUCGGUGUCAAUCCACACAAAUGCUCCCAUACUGUAGCUGUGGCAAACAUUCCCUGAACAUAGACCCGCUUCUGUAAUUUUGCCUUGUUUUUCAAAUGCAGAUGUGCAUUGAGAUGUUUUUGGGAUUGACCUGAGGCAGGUGGAGUCGGGAAGGCUGAGUCCUGCUUCAACAGCUGCCUGAAGAUGAGCCAUGCCACAGGAAAACACUUGGAAGAUUUUUCAUGGCUCUUCCAAUCAGAGUGGAAAUGUGGCAAUUUGCAUCUACUUGGAGAGCACCGGAGGUCAGGUGGACAGAUUUGAAGAUUUCUCUCAAUAGUUCUGCUCUCUAUGGAUCCACAUGGAGCCAUUCAGAACAUGGCGAGAGAUAGGAACUCAGCUUCCUUUUUUUGGGUGGAACCACGAGACCUCUCCAAUUUUCAACCUCAUUCUCAUCCAUCUUUUUGUGGGCAGCAGCGUCAGACUCAUUACUGGGAUGACGAGAAAUGAAGCGGUCAACACGAAGAGGCAGGCUCUCGUGCUUGAAAAGCCCAUUUUUUAUGAGGUUGAACUCUGCUUCAACAGCAGCGGAACUUGCAGUGAUGCUGGUGCUUUGGAAGAGAGGGACCAUUAUUCCUGUCCAAAGUGCCUUGGCAAGUGACCUGCUCUCUUCACAUAUUUCUGUCACCCACUGUCUGGCAUCUGUAUGGAUCUGAUGACUAUGCGCAUCCAGUGGUUCUUGUCCCACAACCUCUUCAACUUGGGAGCUGACAAGUUCUUCAGCAAUUUGAGAUUUCAGGCAGUCCCACCGGCAGAUCAUCUUGAUGCAGUGUGCAACAUCUACCCUGACAAAACAUGGGGGCAGCUUUGCAGGUUGAUUGCCAAGCAAUACUUUAAAGCAUUCAUUGAUGUGCUCCAGCAUGAAUCCAUUCCUUUAGCCAUUGUGUGAUCGCACAAACAUCAUGCUUCUCUGACAGCAUCUGCACCACUGGUACACUCGAGCUGUCAUGCCCUGUCAUAACACCUUGAUAAAGGAAGAUGUGGCCAGAAGAGCCAUUCGGUCUCACCAAUUUUUUAACUACUGAGCCAGUAGCAUCAAAACAUACUGUUGGGGUGGCCAAAUUUGGUAGAUGACUCGGCUCAGGAUCUCCAAAGUUCAUCAGUUUCUCUGCCUGUGAUGCCCGCCAUACAUGCGGUUCCAUCCUGCCCUCCACAAGUUCUGUGGCAAUCUGGGAACGCAACUGCCCAGACAUGAACCGCUUUGAGUUGCCAGUGUGCAGGGAGUCAUCACUGUUCUUAAUGUAACAGUUGAGCAUCAUUGGACUGUUGAUUUUGGGCUCUCUGUCACAAUUGAGGUUGAGAAGACCAUGACACUCCUUGCAGUAUCCUCUGAUGUCAAUAUAAUUAUUUGUUGCCAAAGGAUACACCUUAGCUCUUUUAAAAAUAAAGGUGCAAGGACUUUUUACUGCUUUCCAGAUUUGUUCAUUUAUAAUGUGGGUCCAGGUGCCAGGCUUCAAAAUUGUAUAUUUUCUUUUUUGGGUUUGACAGUACUUAUUUCUGUAUACAGCCUCUUCUGGAAUAAAUUUCCUCCACUCAUCAAAAGGCACUUGAAGCUGAAAUGACCUUUCAGGGUAAAGGUCAUCCAAUUCAGAGCUUGUGUCGUCAUCACUUGUUUGAGGAUCAGUUUCAUGAUGACUGAAUCCCAAAGCUGACAAGAUGUUGUGUCUGUCUGUUUUAACAAAGGUGUAAAGAGACUUUGCCGACAUUUUCCCGCCCAGCUCCUUACUAAGUUCCAUCCAAACAGUGGCAUUUGGAGUGGCUAUGUUGCCAGUUUGAAGUAUGGCCUCCUUGAAUGAGCAGAGAACUGCAAAAACUGAGUCCCUGUCUACUGCUGGUUGUUUGGGCAUCUAGUUUAAGGACAAAAGAAAAUAAUUAGGAUUCAUUGCUUCAGUUAUAUUGGCCUUUACCACCAAUUAUAAUGUGCUAUGUGCUAUACUUCUAAACACUUGUUACACUUGAUGAAUGUAACUAUUAAAAUGCAAAAUGAAGAUUAAUAUGGGUCGGCUGCAUUCAUAAAUUAAUAGCAGUAGACCAUGCUCUGCACAUAUAUACUUCUUAUAAAUGUAUAUUUCUUGACUUAUUUGACUUAG